rnacentral:rRNA from 1 species
GAUGAACGCUGGCGGCGUGCCUAAUACAUGCAAGUCGAGCGAACGGACGAGAAGCUUGCUUCUCUGAUGUUAGCGGCGGACGGGUGAGUAACACGUGGAUAACCUACCUAUAAGACUGGGAUAACUUCGGGAAACCGUAGCUAAUACCGGAUAAUAUUUUGAACCGCAUGGUUCAAAAGUGAAAGACGGUCUUGCUGUCACUUAUAGAUGGAUCCGCGCUGCUUUAGCUAGUUGGUAAGGUAACGGCUUACCAAGGCAACGAUGCAUAGCCGACCUGAGAGGGUGAUCGGCCACACUGGAACUGAGACACGGUCCAGACUCCUACGGGAGGCAGCAGUCGGGAAUCUUCCGCAAUGGGCGAAAGCCUGACGGAGCAACGCCGCGUGAGUGAUGAAGGUCUUCGGAUCGUAAAACUCUGUUAUUAGUGAAGAACAUAUGUGUAAGUAACUGUGCACAUCUUGACGGUACCUAAUCAGAAAGCCACGGCUAACUACGUG